CAGUCUCUGGUAAAGGAAAAUACUGAAGAGAGGGGGAAUCUUCCUAGUGUCAGAGCCCUCUGAUGAAGACCGCUUACUCCACAUCCCUCCAAAACAAACUAUCAGCCUUAUAAAUAUUUCUCAUCUCAUGGUUUUUCUUUGAAAUACCAUCCAACAGAGCAUCCUCUGACAGGCUGACAGUGCUGAGCGUUUCUCUAGAGUCACAGAUUUUUGCAUUCAAAAGUGGAAUUGAAGCCAGACUGCCCUCAGGUCUGCUAUCCAGGAGAUAUGGAGUGAAAUGAAGACACUAUAUCUGGAGAUGACACACAGAGUCUGGAGAGAGGGAGGGACAAUAGGAAGAACCUUAAGGAGCAUCACUGUGCUGCACAUAUACUUUAUCCUGAAGUGAUAAGAAUAUUCCUUCCCUGGCUCUCUAACAGCA